rnacentral:rRNA from 1 species
CAGCCGCCGCGGUAAUACGUAGGGUGCAAGCGUUAAUCGGAAUUACUGGGCGUAAAGCGUGCGCAGGCGGUUAUAUAAGACAGAUGUGAAAUCCCCGGGCUCAACCUGGGAACUGCAUUUGUGACUGUAUAGCUAGAGUACGGCAGAGGGGGAUGGAAUUCCGCGUGUAGCAGUGAAAUGCGUAGAUAUGCGGAGGAACACCGAUGGCGAAGGCAAUCCCCUGGGCCUGUACUGACGCUCAUGCACGAAAGCGUGGGGAGCAAACAGGAUUAGAUACCCCAGUAGUCCCUGUCUCUUAUCC